GAUGAACGCUGGCGGCGUGCUUAACACAUGCAAGUCGAGCGAGAAACUACAUGCAGACACUUCGGUAGAAGCGAGUAGCGGAAAGCGGCGGACGGGUGAGUAACGCGUAGGCAACCUGCCCUUCACAGAGGUAUAGCCUCGGGAAACCGGGAUUAAAACCACAUAAAAUCAUAGGUUCGCAUGAACCAAAGGUCAAAGAUUUAUCGGUGAAGGAUGGGCCUGCGUCUGAUUAGCUGGUUGGUAGGGUAAAAGCCUACCAAGGCGACGAUCAGUAGCCGACCUGAGAGGGUGAUCGGCCACAUUGGAACUGAGACACGGUCCAAACUCCUACGGGAGGCAGCAGUGGGGGAUAUUGCACAAUGGGGGAAACCCUGAUGCAGCAACGCCGCGUGAGGUAUGAAGGCCUUUGGGUUGUAAGCCUCUGUCCUAGGGGAAGAAAAAAAUGACGGUACCCGAGGAGGAAGCCCCGGCUA
rnacentral:rRNA from 1 species